rnacentral:lncRNA from 1 species
CCCCGCUCCCUGGACCCCAGAGCUGACACCAGAAGACAGUUGCCUGGAGCUGGCCGCCCACCUGUGCCUGGCUCCACCCCUCCAGCCACCUUCCGCUGGCCUCCCUGGGCUCUGCUGCCCACACAGCCCUGCGAGAGGCCACUGUGCUCCUUGCGCAUGUACCCUGCACCCAUCUGCUGCAUGCGCAGGCCGGCCAGGGAGAGUCUCCCACUGCGGGGUGGUUCCCACACCCAGACCUCCAGGUUCUCAGCCUCACUUCCCUCAGCCCCACUCCUGGGGUGAGCUCCAGGGUGAAUGGUGGAGUGAGAGCCCCGGGGGGUGAGCAGCCUGGAUGGGGGGGUGCCCUCCACCACCACACAUUCCCCAUCCUCUCACAGAAGCUCCUAGUCUCCCCCUUGGCCUCCCAGGCUCAGCACCAGCCAGGCCACAAGCCAGAGACCCCUACGUGUCCUCUGCUGCUGGGAAGCAGAGCCUUCAGUGCAGGGGAGCUGCCCCCAGGUGGCAGUUCCCCCACCUUCCCAGCACCCAUAUCCCCUCCAGACUCAAACCAAGGUCCUUCUGCUACCCACCACCAUCUCAGCCAUCGCGGUAGAUCUCCUAAGGGGCUCAGCGACAUGGACCAGACCACAGCCUCUGCUGGCCCCUCAGGGCCUGGGUGACCUGGGUGUGGCCAAGCCCCUUUGCCUCCCUUCAGGGCCCAGAAGUUCCAGGAGGCCUAGGGGCUCCCAGACUGUGAACUCCCCCUCCUGCUGGGGGUUAGGAAGCUCCGGGCCAGUCCUGUUCCAACACGGCUCUCUUCCAACAGGGAGAGAACCAACCCAGGAGGCCACCUUCCAGUAACCCCAAACCCUCAGGCCUGGCUCAGGGGGCAUCUCCCGAGCCAGCUCGAGGCCAGGUGGAGAGGGCCCUGGGAGGCUGGGUGGGCCCACAGGCCUGCAGACUCCAUGAGAGCUGGGGCAGUGCCAGGGCCUGGCAGCCAUGUGGCCAGAGCACCACAUGAGGAGUCUGUGCAACGCCUCGCACCUGGGCCAGAGGGGACCAAAGGAUACGGGGAGGCCACCACCCGGGCCCAGGAGGGUGAUAAUGAGUGAGGGAAGGGACCCCAACCUCAGGGCAGCC